rnacentral:snRNA from 1 species
GCCCACGUGCAGUGACCGUAUCAUAGCCAAAGAGGUAAAUCUGAGGCGUGAUUAUUGCUAAUUGAAAGCUUUUCCUAAUAUCCUGCCAUGUUGGCUUGCAAUACAGUAUAUUUGUCAGAGACUUUUCCCUUAGU